GGAGCAGCUCACCUGAGAGACGGAGCCCCGGCUCGCCCGUGUGCAGAGCGGACAAGGCAAAAUCUCAGCAAGUUCGGACCUCUAGUACAAUAAGGCGAACCUCCUCUUUGGAUACAAUAACAGGACCUUACCUCACGGGACAGUGGCCACGGGAUCCUCAUGUUCACUACCCUUCAUGCAUGAAAGACAAAGCUACUCAGACACCUAGCUGUUGGGCAGAAGAGGGUGCAGAAAAGAGGUCACAUCAGCGUUCUGCGUCAUGGGGGAGUGCUGAUCAACUAAAAGAGAUCGCCAAACUGAGGCAGCAACUACAACGCAGUAAACAGAGUAGUCGUCACAGUAAGGAGAAAGAUCGCCAGUCACCUCUUCAUGGCAACCAUAUAACAAUCAGUCACACUCAGAGGCUACUGGAUCAAGGUCAGUUCCUAUGCCACUGUCAAAUAUAUCAGUGCCAAAAUCAUCUGUUUCACGUGUGCCCUGCAAUGUAGAAGGAAUAAGUCCUGAAUUAGAAAAGGUAUUCAUUAAAGAAAAUAAUGGGAAGGAAGAAGUAUCCAAGCCGUUGGACAUACCAGAUGGUCGAAGAGCUCCACUUCCUGCUCAUUACCGGAGCAGUAGUACUCGCAGCAUUGACACUCAGACUCCUUCUGUCCAGGAGCGCAGCAGUAGCUGCAGCAGUCAUUCACCCUGUGUCUCCCCUUUUUGUCCCCCGGAAUCCCAGGAUGGUAGCCCUUGCUCAACAGAAGAUUUGCUCUAUGAUCGUGAUAAAGACAGUGGGAGUAGCUCACCGUUACCCAAGUAUGCUUCAUCUCCCAAACCAAACAACAGCUACAUGUUCAAACGGGAGCCCCCAGAGGGAUGUGAGCGAGUGAAGGUCUUUGAGGAAAUGGCGUGUCUCGUCAGCCUAUCUCGGCCCCUCUCUUUUCAUGUCCUGACAAAAACAAGGUUAAUUUCAUCCCAACCGGAUCAGCUUUCUGUCCUGUAAAACUUCUAGGCCCCCUCUUACCUGCUUCUGACCUUAUGCUCAAGAACUCUCCUAACUCUGGCCAGAGCUCAGCUUUGGCAACUCUGACCGUUGAGCAGCUCUCAUCCCGGGUUUCCUUUACGUCUCUUUCUGAUGACACCAGCACAGCGGGCUCCAUGGAGGCCUCUGUCCAGCAGCCAUCCCAGCAGCAGCAGCUCCUGCAGGAACUGCAGGGUGAGGACCACAUCUCUGCUCAGAACUAUGUGAUCAUCUAAAAAAGGGGGAGCUGGCCUCCACCCUAUGUUCCAUGGAUUCGGAACAAGAUUUCAGACAUCUGCAUGAGUGACAAACUUUCUGAACGCCACCACCACCAGUAAUACUUAUCAGCAUCAUAAAGUAUCUCUUAAACACUGAUCUUGGCAGGGACGGAACUCCUAUUCAGCAGUUUUUGUGGAAAGCAGUAAUGCUUGCAAAACGUGUGUGUCAUUCAGCAUUUUAAGUGGAGACUAUGCAUUUCAUAGUAUAUUUGACAGAUUAGUACUGUGUCCUGUGUUUUGUUCCAGAUUCUUCAGUAUAAAUAAGCUCUAUAUCAAAAAGUUGCCUGUCUAAAUAGAAAAUGUCUUGCUGUGUUUUGUCCUAUGGAAAAUACUGUAAUUCAGGAUUAUGUUUACAAUUGAUCCAGGUGUUUGUUUCUAACUUCUGUAAUACAUACAAUGCAAAAAAAAAAAAAAAAAAAUGGCCACAACAGUUGCACAGUGCCCACCCUAUGGCCUAGCUUCAGGUACUUCAGUUGAAGUCUAAACUCAGGUAACUUGGAAUGUAUAUCAUAUUGGGAUAUUAACUAUUUCACAGCUAAAAAGCUAAAGAGGGAACAUCACUCUUUUGCCUUUCCUUAUUUUAUGCAUUUCCCUUUCCUCAUUACAUUCCACAUUCUUAGAAUAAGAAGUGCAUUCAAUCCUAGGAGAAUGAUAAUCCUGGACAUGGGUGAACAUGAGGAGAACCAGCAAAAUCUGUGGUGUUUGACAUCACUUUGUCAUGUGGUUACAAGUAAAACAACUGUUGCAUUCACUGUUUCAACAUGUGUACAUGUGGCUUUUUUAAAAGUUCAGGUGUUGCUCAGUAAAGGACUGUGACAAUGUUGCAAAUAAAGUGUUCAGUACUGGACUGUACAUAAACAUUCCACAUUGUGUGUGAUGAAAUUUAAAGACAAGAAUGUCUAGAGUUAAUUUCAAAAUAAGUGAAGUGUUUGACGGAAUGGUUGAGAUUUUUUUGUUUAUGUUAGCCAUCAGGGUCAUAACUGUUACCAUUUUAUCUAAAGACAGAUUUAUAUUUAGUUUCUCCCUUGGAAAUUCUUUAUUUUGCAGGUGAAAAAGUGACAUACUUUUUGUUAUUGUCUUCCUCAAGCAGUUUAGGUGCAUGAUCUUCAUUUACAUAGAAUACUUGGGUCUCAGAAUUGAUGCAACAUAAGCAGGUUUUUUGGUGACUUACAAGAGCUAUAGUUUGAAGCUAUCUCAUUUAAGCCUCUCAUAAUACAUAAUCAUGAGUAGUUUUGAAAUUUGCAACCUGUGAGGUAGAGCAUAAACUCAAGAAAAUAGCCUUGAACUUGCAGACUUUUGACACAAGUUCUCCACAAAGUGUGAAGAGAGCCCUAGGCAUUCCUGAUUGGUCAAUGGGAGAGCCUAACUUUCAUUGUUUUUUGGAUACAAAGAGUAUCCAAAAGCGAAGUUUUUGUAUUCCACUACUUUCAGUUCAGUAAAACCUAGAGUUGUUUCAUCUGCGCCUAAAGUGUAUGGCACAAUUUUCUUAAGAAUUAGGGGAACCAGGUGCCUACAGUUAAAGGAACGUUUCAGUUCCUUUCAUUCAUUCCUGGGUUUUUCUUUUAUUUUCUAAGAAGGUUGAAGAAGGAUGAGUGAUAGAGAAGAAAGCAACACCAUUGAUUUUUUUUUUUAAGAAAUGAUAUAUAUAUGUAUAUGUUUGUGUGUGUGUGUGUGUGUGUGUGUGUGUGUGUAUUCUGUGCAUUAUUUUGUCAUGAUCUCAAUUCUCUUCUUUCCACCAAAGUUUGCCGUAAUAUUUUCUCUUGAAGGUGCAUUCUGGCUCCUUUAAAUUAGUCAGUGUUAUAUUGUAGGAGACUGUCAUGGAAAAAAGGACUCAGUUUACUUUUGUCAUUUUCACAGGGGAACCUUUUAAAACAAUCUUUUCAGCAGCAGAUACCUUUAACCCUAAUAAUCUCAGGCCUUGAUGAAAAUACUAUAUUUUGUAGAUUAUGGUUAAAGGGAGAAAAUUACUAGUUCCGUAAGAUAAAUAUGAGCUCCAUUUGACUUCUGAUAUCUGGUUUAGCAUUACAUAAUAUGUUGAUCUUACACUCUGCUUUUGUCCAAAUAAAAUGCAAUAGUAUCAAUAUCAAUUUCAGAAAAAUGGACUGAAUAUGCUUUUUUGGUGAUUAAGUCUGAUGUACGAUAUUUAUAGUGAUGUGCUUUUAUUUUCUCAUGAGAUACUAAAUAUUAAUUGUGUUGUACAUUUGUUCUUAGCAUAUAUUAAAGUUUUGAACCAAAUGUGUUAAAGCUUACGCUUUGCCAUGUAAAUUUCCCAGAAGUUGUUGAGCUCAAAUGUAUCCUACAUCCAGCUGUAGAAAUUUGUCAGAAAUUGUUUAAAUUUUGUAUAUAAUUGUACUGUUUAAUUCUAGCCAUUGCGCUGAACAGUAUUUGAGUUACCAUAUAAUAUGGCUUUACACAAGGAAAUGUGUGGCUUUUGUUUUGUAUUUUUUCAGUAUAGAAGUUCCUGUG
rnacentral:lncRNA from 1 species